rnacentral:lncRNA from 1 species
AUCAUCAAAUAUCAACAAAAUCUGUGUAGUUAACCAUAAAUCAUACUCCAAUAUACAACUCUCUCUAUUUAUAUACUUAAAUGUUUUCUACUUUUUGGGUGGACGAUUAAGUAAAUCACUGGGUACCAGAAUGAGCUUUAGAGUCACCGCCAAAGUUGUCGGAAUUUUGCGUCUCCGGCGGAGUGAAACAAGCUAUGAAAACUUCUGCACAGAUCGGGCGGCAACCUUGACUGGGUUU